GACGAACGCUGGCGGCGUGCUUAACACAUGCAAGUCGAACGGAAAGGCCCUGCGUUUGUGGGGUGCUCGAGUGGCGAACGGGUGAGUAACACGUGAGUAACCUGCCCUUGACUUUGGGAUAACUUCAGGAAACUGGGGCUAAUACCGGAUAGGAGCUCCUGCUGCAUGGUGGGGGUUGGAAAGUUUCGGCGGUUGGGGCUGGACUCGCGGGUUAUCAGCUUGUUGGUGGGGUAGUGGCUUACCAAGGCUUUGACGGGUAGCCCGCCUGAGAGGGUGACCGGCCACAAUGGGACUGAGAGACGGACCAGACUCCUACGGGAGGCAGCAGGGGGGAAUAUUGCACAAUGGGCGGAAGCCUGAUGCAGCAACGCCGCGUGCGGGAUGACGGCCUUCGGGUUGUAAACCGCUUUCGCCUGUGACGAAGCGUGAGUGACGGUAAUGGGUAAAGAAGCACCGGCUAACUACGUG
rnacentral:rRNA from 1 species